rnacentral:tRNA from 1 species
GCCUGGCUGGUUCAGUUGGUAGAGCAUGCGACUCUUGAUCCCAGGGUUGUAAGUUCAAGUCCUAUGUUGGGUG